rnacentral:rRNA from 1 species
GAUGAACGCUAGCGAUAGGCCUAACACAUGCAAGUCGAGGGGCAUCACAUGAAGUAGCAAUACGGAUGGUGGCGACCGGCGCACGGGUGAGUAACACGUAUGCAACCUGCCUUCAACAAGGGGAUAACCCGUUGAAAGACGGACUAAUACCCUAUAACACAGGGGUCCCGCAUGGGGAUAUUUGUUAAAGAUUGAUCGGUUGAAGAUGGGCAUGCGUUCCAUUAGCUGGUUGGUGAGGUAACGGCUCACCAAGGCAACGAUGGAUAGGGGAACUGAGAGGUUUAUCCCCCACACUGGUACUGAGACACGGACCAGACUCCUACGGGAGGCAGCAGUGAGGAAUAUUGGUCAAUGGACGCAAGUCUGAACCAGCCACGUCGCGUGAAGGAAGACGGCCCUACGGGUUGUAAACUUCUUUUAUACGGGAAUAAAGUGCCCCACGCGUGGGGUUUUGCAUGUACCGUAUGAAUAAGGAUCGGCUAACUCCGUGCCAGCAGCCGCGGUAAGUCA